rnacentral:lncRNA from 1 species
GUGGUGGUUGUUACGGUGGAAGAGGUGGUGGCUGAUAUCAAGGAGAUAGAUAGUGGUUGUUUUGCAAGAUGUGAUGGAAAAAAUAUGAAAGCAAAGAUUACAAAUUUGGUUAAUAAUUAAAAGAAAUGAUGACAAUAGUUACGGAGAGAUCCAAAUGAUUUAAAUUUUUUUUUUUACAAAAAGUGAAGGUGGAUUGAAAGAAGUAGUGAUGGUGGUAGUUAAUCGAAGAAGAAGUAUAUACAGUUUUUAACCGGUAAACAGGGAUAGUAUAGUAUAUAUUGUAAUAAUAGUGGAAGUUGUUUAUUUUUUAUUUAGAUACCUAAUCUUAUAU